GAUGAACGCUGGCGGCGUGCCUAAUACAUGCAAGUCGAGCGAACAGAUAAGGAGCUUGCUCCUUUGACGUUAGCGGCGGACGGGUGAGUAACACGUGGGUAACCUACCUAUAAGACUGGAAUAACUCCGGGAAACCGGGGCUAAUGCCGGAUAAUAUUUAGAACCGCAUGGUUCUAAAGUGAAAGAUGGUUUUGCUAUCACUUAUAGAUGGACCCGCGCCGUAUUAGCUAGUUGGUGGGGUAAUGGCUUACCAAGGCAACGAUACGUAGCCGACCUGAGAGGGUGAUCGGCCACACUGGAACUGAGACACGGUCCAGACUCCUACGGGAGGCAGCAGUAGGGAAUCUUCCGCAAUGGGCGAAAGCCUGACGGAGCAACGCCGCGUGAGUGAUGAAGGUCUUCGGAUCGUAAAACUCUGUUAUUAGGGAAGAACAAAUGUGUAAGUAACUGUGCACGUCUUGACGGUACCUAAUCAGAAAGCCACGGCUAACUACGUGCCAGCAGCCGCGGUAAUACGUAGGUGGCAAGCGUUAUCCGGAAUUAUUGGGCGUAAAGCGCGCGUAGGCGGUUUCUUAAGUCUGAUGUGAAAGCCCACGGCUCAACCGUGGAGGGUCAUUGGAAACUGGGGAACUUGAGUGCAGAAGAGGAGAGUGGAAUUCCAUGUGUAGCGGUGAAAUGCGCAGAGAUAUGGAGGAACACCAGUGGCGAAGCGGCUCUCUGGUCUGUAACUGACGCUGAUGUGCGAAAGC
rnacentral:rRNA from 1 species